AACGAACGCUGGCGGCAUGCCUAACACAUGCAAGUCGAACGAGAUCUUCGGGUCUAGUGGCGCACGGGUGCGUAACGCGUGGGAAUCUGCCCUUUGGUUCGGAAUAACAGUUGGAAACGACUGCUAAUACCGGAUGAUGACGAAAGUCCAAAGAUUUAUCGCCAGAGGAUGAGCCCGCGUAGGAUUAGCUAGUUGGUGUGGUAAAGGCGCACCAAGGCGACGAUCCUUAGCUGGUCUGAGAGGAUGAUCAGCCACACUGGGACUGAGACACGGCCCAGACUCCUACGGGAGGCAGCAGUGGGGAAUAUUGGACAAUGGGCGAAAGCCUGAUCCAGCAAUGCCGCGUGAGUGAUGAAGGCCUUAGGGUUGUAAAGCUCGUUUACCCCGGGAUGAUAAUGACAGUACCGGGAGAAUAAGCUCCGGCUAACUCCGUGCCAGCAGCCGCGGUAA
rnacentral:rRNA from 1 species